GCUGCUGCGCUCUGCCUGUCCAGCGAUGGCCGUUGUGUGCUAGCCUUGGCCACAGGGCGCCGUCCCCAGCAGUUCUCCCUCCCCCUCCGUGCGUGGCCCAGCCCUGCUGGUGGUGCUGCCCUUGGAUUGGGCGCGGGAUCUGCGGCCGGUCGCAUGGGUGUCCGCGGCAUACCUUCCUGCUGGCGGGCCCCUCGCCGCCGGUGGCUCAUCCUCUCCCUCGAGCCGCGGAGACGGCUUUCGCGGUGGCGGCGAGUAUACAGUGCUAGUGGUGGUCUUGAAGCCCUCAAGGCGGGUUCUUGCUGGCGCUGCUCCGGCCCUGACGACCUUGGACCCACGUCCCUUCCGGUGUCCAUGGCUGCCGGCGUCCUCUGCCGGGCGGCUCCGGCCUCGGCGACCCAGCAGCUACGUUCCUUCCAGCUUGCCUGGUCCCCCGAUGUCCCGACGACUAUGGCCACGGUAGCCAGGAUCUGCGUCCCUCCAGUCCUUGCUUGCCGGCGUUGCCAAUCGCCGUCGCCCCACCGCCUUAUGGCUUGCUUCGCGCCCGCCCUACCUUGUAUGCUUCAAAGCCCCCGCUUUUGCCAGAUCCAAUGUUCGUAGGUUCGGAGGCGGUGCCACCCUUCGACGGCAGUUGCAGCCCCGCCAACCCCCUUCCGACAUGGUGACUCCGACCGGCGUUGGCGUCCUCAUCUUCGUUUCCAGACAUGGUGGCUAUGGGAUUGCUCAGCCUCAGGCCUGGGAGAAAUCCCUGCUCGGCUUGCCGAUGCUGGCAGCGGCGGCGUCUGCGGACGUCGUUUUCCUUUCUGGAGGCGUUGUCAAGGCCCUCGGCUGCGCCCCUCUUCGAGCUCAGGGGGGACCCUAGGUCCGAUUCCUCCGGAUCGGAUGGCGACGGCGUCUCGACGUCGUCCUCCUUCUUGAAGGCGCCAUCUUGCUCGCUCGCGGUGUCCCCGGUUUUGGUUCCCGAGAUGUUGAUGGUCGAGUUGGUUCGGCGUUGCCACUCUUGGUUCGGGUUUGGUAGGUUUAGCUGUGAUGUAUCCUCUCUUCGGGUCGAGCAUCCCUUUUCUUUCUGCUCCGGUCACCAUGUUCACGCCUGCCUGCGUUCGUGCCAUGUGUUGUACUCCUAUCUGUACUCAUUCUAUUUUCUUCUAUCAAUGCAAUGAUACGCAAGCUUUGCGUAUUCGAGAAAAAAUUC
rnacentral:rRNA from 1 species